rnacentral:rRNA from 1 species
GCCAGACUCCUACGGGAGGCAGCAGUGGGGAAUAUUGCACAAUGGGGGGAACCCUGAUGCAGCGACGCCGCGUGGGCGAGGAAGUAUUUCGGUAUGUAAAGCCCUAUCGGCAGGGAAGAAGAAAUGACGGUACCUGAAUAAGAAGCACCGGCUAAAUACGUGCCAGCCGCCGCGGGAAUACGUAGGGGGCUAGCGUUAUCCGGAAUUACUGGACGUAAAGGGUGCGUAGGUGGUUUCUUAAGUCAGAGGUGAAAGGCUACGGCUCAACCGUAGUAAGCCUUUGAAACUGGGGAACUUGAGUGCAGGAGAGGAGAGUGGAAUUCCUAGUGUAGCGGUGAAAUGCGUAGAUAUUAGGAGGAACACCAGUGGCGAAGGCGGCUUACUGGACUGAGACUGACGUUGAGGCUCGAAAGCGUGGGGAGCAAACAGGAUUAGAUACCCCGGUAACA